rnacentral:rRNA from 1 species
UACAGAGGAGCCAAGCGUUGUCCGGAUUGACUGGGCGUAAAGCGCACGCAGGCGGUCGUGCGCGUGGGGUGUGAAAUCUGGCCGCUUAACGGCCAGGCGCCAUCCCAUACGGCACGACUGGAGGGCUGCAGAGGUCGAUGGAAUUGCCGGUGUAGUGGUGAAAUGCGUAGAGAUCGGCAGGAACACCCAGGGGGAAACCAGUCGACUGGGCAGCACCUGACGCUGAGGUGCGAGAGCGUGGGGAGCGGACCGG